rnacentral:rRNA from 1 species
UACGAAGGGGGCUAGCGUUGCUCGGAAUCACUGGGCGUAAAGCGCACGUAGGCGGCUUUUUAAGUCAGGGGUGAAAUCCUGGAGCUCAACUCCAGAACUGCCUUUGAUACUGAGAAGCUUGAGUCCGGGAGAGGUGAGUGGAACUGCGGAGUGUAGAGGUGAAAAUUCGUAGAUAUUCGCAAGAACACCAGUGGCGAAGGCGGCUCACUGGCCCGGUACUGACGCUGAGGUGCGAAAGCGUGGGGAGCAAACAGGG